rnacentral:tRNA from 1 species
GGAGGGGUGGCCGAGUGGUUUAAGGCACCGGUCUUGAAAACCGGCGUGCGGGUGACCGUACCGUGGGUUCGAAUCCCACCCCCUCCGCCA